AUAAUUUGCAGGUACCGGAUAAGAAACAGGUUAACCUUUAAUAAAUCCAAUUAUGAAAUUAAUUAGAGCGCGAUCCGGCCUCGCCUCCGUACGCGAUAAUUUAGAUUUCGCUCGAGUUUCAUGCAGAGUCGAUAAGUACGGAACCUGUACGUAACCUGCGCCAUCGAAUUGUUUCGCAAGCACACACACACACACACACACACACAAAUACCAACACACAUGAACAUAAAGGUGAUACGAAGCGAACGUUGAGACAAAUAUACGCUUUCGUGAAACAGAACUCCGCAGAGAAGCAGGCAUGAUCACCAGUAAACCUGGCUUUUGUGAAAAGGUUAAAAAAAAGAGGAAAAAAGUGAAAAUGAGGAAAAAAAAGGGAAAAACGUAAGGUACACCAAAAAACAUAGGAUUUAGAUUAGUGUGAUACAAGUUUUGUAGAAACGCUGAGAAGAUUCGCCACUUCAGAAAUGAAAAACCAAAAAAAAAAAAAAAAAAAAAUUGAAAAACGCUGUCUUGGGAUCAAGGAUAUAACGACGAAGGUCAGGAAAGACCAGGAUCCAAUUUACGCAUAUGCGGGCACGCGUUAUUUUUCAUUGGAACACACCACAGGAA